AACGAACGCUGGCGGCAUGCCUAACACAUGCAAGUCGAACGGAGACCUUCGGGUCUAGUGGCGCACGGGUGCGUAACGCGUGGGAAUCUGCCCUUGGGUUCGGAAUAACAGUUAGAAAUGACUGCUAAUACCGGAUAAUGUCUUCGGACCAAAGAUUUAUCGCCCAGGGAUGAGCCCGCGUAGGAUUAGCUAGUUGGUGAGGUAAAGGCUCACCAAGGCGACGAUCCUUAGCUGGUCUGAGAGGAUGAUCAGCCACACUGGGACUGAGACACGGCCCAGACUCCUACGGAGGCAGCAGUGGGGGAAUAUUGGACAAU
rnacentral:rRNA from 1 species